rnacentral:misc_RNA from 1 species
AGAGAAUUAGAAAGUAGAGGAUAAGAAUCCUCCUAUCAUGACCAAAAGCAAAUCAACAAGAAAUACACACAGACAAGAUUAAAAAAGUAGUUAUACUGCAUGACACCAAGGUUUCAACUCUCAAGACCCUGUAUCAUAGACCUAAGGAUUUGCAUGAUACAAUCUUUUAUUCCUAUCCCUACCACCUCUUAAUUUCUGGAAUUUUCAUAGGUGCUAACUUCUGGUGCUCUCUCAACCUUCUUUUUUCUCCUACUAUAGGUGAUCUGGAUUGUCUCUCCUGAUAUAUCUUUAGGUCCUAUUGGUGUAGGAAAUCCUAGAUAUUUUAGGACAGCCUAUUUUGUGAAAAAUUAUAGAAAAUGGUUUAUUUAUUUGAUUUUAUUUCAGCAUUUUAUCUUAUUUAGUAUUCAUAAU